CACGCCGUAAACUAAUGCGCGUUAGGUGUAUCGGUGACCACGAGUUACCGAGGUGCCGAAGGGAAACCGUGAAACGUGCCGCCUGGGAAGUACGGUCGCAAGGCUGAAACUUAAAGGAAUUGGCGGGGGAGGCACCACAACAGGUGGAGCCUGCGGUUUAAUUGGACUCAACGCCGGGAAGCUCACCGGAUAGGACAGCAGAAUGAUUGCCGGGCUGAAGACCCUGCAUGACUAGCUGAGAGGAGGUGCAUGGCGUAGACGUCU
rnacentral:rRNA from 1 species